GGGGAAAGUGGCGAAAGGGGCAGUAAGGCGUGGGUAACCUGCCCCGGGGUUCGGAAUAGCCCUUCUAACGAAGGGGUAAUACCGAAUGCCGUAGCGAGGGGGCCUCCCCUCGUUACGAAAGCUCCGGCGCCCCGGGAGGGGCCCACGUGGUAUUAGCUGGUUGGUGGGAUAACGGCCCACCAAGGCGAAGAUGCCUAGCAGGUGUGAGAGCACGACCUGCGCCACUGGCACUGGGACACUGGCCAGACUCCUACGGGAGGCUGCAGUCGAGGAUCUUCGGCAAUGGGCGCAAGCCUGACCGAGCGACGCCGCGUGGGCGAUGAAGGCCUUCGGGUUGUAAAGCCCUGUCGGGGGGGAGAAAGGGGCGCAAGCCCUUGAUCGACCCCCGGAGGAAGCACGGGCUAAGUUCGUGCCAGCAGCCGCGGUAAGACGAACCGUGCGAACGUUG
rnacentral:rRNA from 1 species